rnacentral:rRNA from 1 species
AUGAUUUUUUCCACUGUCGGACUGGUCUGGGCAGAUGAUACAGAUCCAUAUGAUGACGGGUAUGUGUCAUUCAGAAGAAACGAGUUGCCAACAUCGAGACGAAAUACUAUGCCAGUGAGGUGUAGGAGGAUGGCAGCAGAUGUGGCGCGAGUUGCUGCGCCUGCUGCACAGGUCGGAAAUGUUUUCGUAGUCAAUAAUGCUGAAUAUUCAACUGGUCCAGUAACUCCUGGAGUUGCCAUGCAAGUAGAGGCAUCGGAGGUUCCGCAGACUAUUGGCACACUUCAUCGGCAUGAAGACACGCGCGGUUACACUUUCCAAAGGACAACAAGUGAGCUAUGUUUGAGGUUUAGUUUCUGUAGCAACUGGAGGUCGAGCAUGCCACCAAAGUCGAUGCUCGUCACAAGGAAUCGCUUGAACUCAUUGAAUGUCCGAAUAACCUCAGCAGCAUGCUUGACAGAUAUACGAGAUGUUGGUGCUGGACAGCAGCUUGUGUCAUCAUUCUCUGCUGAAUCAUCACUAUUUAUGUUUCUAGGAAUCUGUAGGUUGGCAUCGCCCAUAUCCUCUUCAUAG